ACACGUUUAUCCAUUAUUCACAGACUCUUUGUGCAUUGCCAUAUUUGUAGUAUUUUUCAAUAACAAAGAUUCUCUGUUGCAGAGUCAAUUUGUUCAUGUUUGUGGGUUUUAAAAAACCUGCAAUUAGAACAAAAAUAAUUAUUUUAUAUGAGACUUCGCUAAUAAAUAGACAAAAAUUGAAAAAAAAAGAAAAAACUCAUAUUAAA